AUUGAACGCUGGCGGCAUGCCUAACACAUGCAAGUCGAACGGAGGUAGGGGCAACUCUACUUCAGUGGCGGACGGGUGAGGAAUGCGUCGGAAUCUACCCUAUGGUGGGGGAUAACACAGGGAAACUUGUGCUAAUACCGCAUAAUGUCGAGAGACCAAAGCAGGGGACCGCAAGGCCUUGCGCGAUAGGAUGAGCCGACGCCCGAUUAGCUUGUUGGUAGGGUAAUGGCCUACCAAGGCGACGAUCGGUAGCUGGUCUGAGAGGAUGAUCAGCCACACUGGGACUGAGACACGGCCCAGACUCCUACGGGAGGCAGCAGUGGGGAAUAUUGGACAAUGGGCGCAAGCCUGAUCCAGCAAUGCCGCGUGUGUGAAGAAGGCCUGCGGGUUGUAAAGCACUUUUGUUCGGGAAGAAAUCAUGCUGGUUAAUACCUGGUAUGGAUGACGGUACCGAAAGAAUAAGCACCGGCUAACUUACGUGCCAGCAGCCGACGG
rnacentral:rRNA from 1 species